rnacentral:snoRNA from 1 species
UGGUCAUUACUAAGGCUUUUAGAAUGCAGUUUCUGAUUUGCUGUGGAGUUGACCAUAAAAAAAAAACUCCCCACCGUGCUUUCUUUUUGCUACCUUGCUAGCAUUCAGCCUAUUGGGAACAUUC